ensembl:lncRNA
UGUGCUGUUGCUGAGGGCUGUCAGGUAUUAGACUCAGGGGUCUUUGUGUGUCUCUCUCUGCAGUCUUUUCUUUCUUCAGUCUUUUCUCUCUGCAGUCCAUUCUUUCUGCAGUCCAUUCUUUCUGCAGUAAAUUCUUUCUGCAGUCCAUUCUUUCUGCAGCCCAUUCUUUCUGCAGUCCAUUCUUUCUGCAGUCCAUUCUUUCUGCAGUCCAUUCUUUCUGCAGUCCAUUCUUUCUUCAGUCCAUUCUUUCUCCAGUCUUUUCUUUCUCCAGUCCAUUCUUUCUCCAGUCCAUUCUUUCUCCAGUCCAUUCUUUCUCCAGUCCAUUCUUUCUCCAGUCUUUUCUUUCUCCAGUCCAUUCUUUCUGCAGUCCAUUCUUUCUCCAGUCCAUUCUUUCUCCAGUCCAUUCUUUCUCCAGUCCAUUCUUUCUCCAGUCUUUUCUUUCUCCAGUCCAUUCUUUCUGCAGUCCAUUCUUUCUCCAGUCCAUUCUUUCUCCAGUCCAUUCUUUCUCCAGUCCAUUCUUUCUCCAGUCUUUUCUUUCUCCAGUCCAUUCUUUCUGCAGUCCAUUCUUUCUCCAGUCCAUUCUUUCUCCAGUCCAUUCUUUCUCCAGUCCAUUCUUUCUCCAGUCUUUUCUUUCUCCAGUCCAUUCUUUUUGCAGUCCAUUCUUUCUCCAGUCCAUUCUUUCUCCAGUCCAUUCUUUCUCCAGUCCAUUCUUUCUCCAGUCUUUUCUUUCUCCAGUCCAUUCUUUCUGCAGUCCAUUCUUUCUCCAGUCCAUUCUUUCUCCAGUCCAUUCUUUCUGCAGUCCAUUCUUUCUGCAGUCCAUUCUUUCUGCAGUCCUUUCUUUCUGCAGUCCAUUCUUUCUCCAGUCCAUUCUUUCUCCAGUCCAUUCUUUCUCCAGUCUUUUCUUUCUCCAGUCCAUUCUUUCUCCAGUCUUUUCUUUCUCCAGUCUUUUCUUUCUCCAGUCCAUUCUUUCUCCAGUCCAUUCUUUCUCCAGUCUUUUCUUUCUCCAGUCCAUUCUUUCUCCAGUCCAUUCUUUCUCCAGUCCAUUCUUUCUCCAGUCCAUUCUUUCUCCAGUCUUUUCUUUCUCCAGUCCAUUCUUUCUGCAGUCCAUUCUUUCUCCAGUCCAUUCUUUCUGCAGUCCAUUCUUUCUGCAGUCCAUUCUUUCUGCAGUCCUUUCUUUCUCCAGUCCAUUCUUUCUGCAGUCCAUUCUUUCUCCAGUCCAUUCUUUCUGCAGUCCAUUAUUUCUCCAGUCCAUUCUUUCUGCAGUCCAUUCAUUCUGCAGUCCAUUCUUUCUGCAGUCCAUUCUUUCUGCAGUCUUUUCUUUCUCCAGUCUUUUCUUUCUCCAGUCCAUUCUUUCUGCAGUCCAUUCUUUCUCCAGUCCAUUCUUUCUCCAGUCCAUUCUUUCUGCAGCCCAUUCUUUCUGCAGUCUUUUCUUUCUCCAGUCCAUUCUUUCUCCAGUCCAUUCUUUCUCCAGUCCAUUCUUUCUCCAGUCCAUUCUUUCUGCAGUCUAUUCUUUCUGCAGUCCAUUCUUUCUGCAGCCCAUUCUUUCUGCAGUCCAUUCUUUCUGCAGUCCAUUCUUUCUGCAGUCCAUUCUUUCUCCAGUCUUUUCUUUCUCCAGUCCAUUCUUUCUCCAGUCCAUUCUUUCUCCAGUCCAUUCUUUCUCCAGUCCAUUCUUUCUCCAGUCUUUUCUUUCUCCAGUCCAUUCUUUCUGCAGUCCAUUCUUUCUCCAGUCCAUUCUUUCUGCAGUCCAUUCUUUCUGCAGUCCAUUCUUUCUGCAGUCCUUUCUUUCUGCAGUCCAUUCUUUCUCCAGUCCAUUCUUUCUCCAGUCCAUUCUUUCUCCAGUCUUUUCUUUCUCCAGUCCAUUCUUUCUCCAGUCUUUUCUUUCUCCAGUCUUUUCUUUCUCCAGUCCAUUCUUUCUCCAGUCCAUUCUUUCUCCAGUCUUUUCUUCCUCCAGUCCAUUCUUUCUCCAGUCCAUUCUUUCUCCAGUCCAUUCUUUCUCCAGUCCAUUCUUUCUCCAGUCUUUUCUUUCUCCAGUCCAUUCUUUCUGCAGUCCAUUCUUUCUCCAGUCCAUUCUUUCUCCAGUCCAUUCUUUCUGCAGUCCAUUAUUUCUCCAGUCCAUUCUUUCUGCAGUCCAUUCUUUCUGCAGUCCAUUCUUUCUGCAGUCCAUUAUUUCUCCAGUCCAUUCUUUCUGCAGUCCAUUCUUUCUCCAGUCCAUUCUUUCUCCAGUCCAUUCUUUCUCCAGUCCAUUAUUUCUCCAGUCCAUUCUUUCUGCAGUCCAUUCUUUCUGCAGUCCAUUAUUUCUCCAGUCCAUUCUUUCUGCAGUCCAUUCUUUCUCCAGUCCAUUCUUUCUGCAGUCCAUUAUUUCUCCAGUCCAUUCUUUCUGCAGUCCAUUCUUUCUCCAGUCCAUUCUUUCUCCAUUCCAUUCUUUCUGCAGUCCAUUAUUUCUCCAGUCCAUUCUUUCUGCAGUCCAUUCUUUCUCCAGUCCAUUCUUUCUGCAGUCCAUUAUUUCUCCAGUCCAUUCUUUCUGCAGUCCAUUCUUUCUGCAGUCCAUUCUUUCUGCAGUCCUUUCUUUCUCCAGUCCAUUCUUUCUGCAGUCCAUUCUUUCUCCAGUCCAUUCUUUCUCCAGUCCAUUCUUUCUGCAGUCCAUUCUUUCUCCAGUCCUUUCUUUCUGCAGUCCAUUAUUUCUCCAGUCCAUUCUUUCUGCAGUCCAUUCUUUCUGCAGUCCAUUCUUUCUGCAGUCUUUUCUUUCUCCAGUCUUUUCUUUCUCCAGUCCAUUCUUUCUGCAGUCCAUUCUUUCUCCAGUCCAUUCUUUCUCCAGUCCAUUCUUUCUGCAGCCCAUUCUUUCUGCAGUCUUUUCUUUCUCCAGGCCAUUCUUUCUCCAGGCCAUUCUUUCUCCAGUCCAUUCUUUCUGCAGUCCAUUCUUUCUCCAGUCUUUUCUUUCUCCAGUCUUUUCUUUCUCCAGCCCAUUCUUUCUCCAGCACAUUCUUUUUCUCCAGUCCAUUCUUUUUCUCCAGUCCAUUCUUUCUCCAGUCCAUUCUUUCUCCCGCCCAUUCUUUCCCCUGUCUUUUCUUUCUCCAGUCCAUUAUUUCUCCAGUCCAUUCUUUCUGCAGUCCAUUCUUUCUGCAGUCCAUUAUUUCUCCAGUCCAUUCUUUCUGCAGUCCAUUCUUUCUCCAGUCCAUUCUUUCUGCAGUCCAUUAUUUCUCCAGUCCAUUCUUUCUGCAGUCCAUUCUUUCUCCAGUCCAUUCUUUCUCCAGUCCAUUCUUUCUGCAGUCCAUUAUUUCUCCAGUCCAUUCUUUCUGCAGUCCAUUCUUUCUCCAGUCCAUUCUUUCUGCAGUCCAUUAUUUCUCCAGUCCAUUCUUUCUGCAGUCCAUUCUUUCUGCAGUCCAUUCUUUCUGCAGUCCUUUCUUUCUCCAGUCCAUUCUUUCUGCAGUCCAUUCUUUCUCCAGUCCAUUCUUUCUCCAGUCCAUUCUUUCUGCAGUUCAUUCUUUCUCCAGUCCUUUCUUUCUGCAGUCCAUUAUUUCUCCAGUCCAUUCUUUCUGCAGUCCAUUCUUUCUGCAGUCCAUUCUUUCUGCAGUCCAUUCUUUCUGCAGUCUUUUCUUUCUCCAGUCUUUUCUUUCUCCAGUCCAUUCUUUCUGCAGUCCAUUCUUUCUCCAGUCCAUUCUUUCUCCAGUCCAUUCUUUCUGCAGCCCAUUCUUUCUGCAGUCUUUUCUUUCUCCAGUCCAUUCUUUCUCCAGGCCAUUCUUUCUCCAGUCCAUUCUUUCUGCAGUCCAUUCUUUCUCCAGUCUUUUCUUUCUCCAGUCUUUUCUUUCUCCAGCCCAUUCUUUCUCCAGCACACUCUUUUUCUCCAGUCCAUUCUUUUUCUCCAGUCCAUUCUUUCUCCAGUCCAUUCUUUCUCCAGCCCAUUCUUUCCCCUGUCUUUUCUUUCUCCAGUCCAUUCUUUCUCCAGUCCAUUCUUUCUGCAGUCUUUUCUUUCUGCAGUCUAUUCUUUCUGCAGUCUUUUGUAGCUGUUAG